AUUGAACGCUGGCGGCAGGCCUAACACAUGCAAGUCGAGCGGAUGAAGGGAGCUUGCUCCUGGAUUCAGCGGCGGACGGGUGAGUAAUGCCUAGGAAUCUGCCUGGUAGUGGGGGAUAACGUCGGGAAACGGGCGCUAAUACCGCUUCCGCCCUGGGGAGGAAGGGGGGGGAUCUUGGGACCUCCCGCUUUCGGAGGGGCCUAGGUCGGAUUAGCUAGUUGGUGGGGUAAAGGCCUACCAAGGCGACGAUCCGUAACUGGUCUGAGAGGAUGAUCAGUCACACUGGAACUGAGACACGGUCCAGACUCCUACGGGAGGCAGCAGUGGGGAAUAUUGGACAAUGGGCGAAAGCCUGAUCCAGCCAUGCCGCGUGUGUGAAGAAGGUCUUCGGAUUGUAAAGCACUUUAAGUUGGGAGGAAGGGCAGUAAGUUAAUACCUUGCUGUUUUGACGUUACCAACAGAAUAAGCACCGGCUAACUUCGUG
rnacentral:rRNA from 1 species